ensembl:lncRNA
GCCUCCAACUCGCUAGGCCCAACGCCCUCCGAAUGCCAGGGAUGCUCCGCCCCCGCCCGCCUCCUGGUCCCCAUUGGCUGCCGAAGCUGCCAAUCCCAGGGGCGGGGCUAUCAGAGGACGCUCCAGGCACCAGCUGGAGGGCGCGGGACUGUUGGGAAAGUGCUGGGAGUACAGGCGGGUGGUGACAGUCAACACGGGCCGUGGCCCAGGCGAGCCUCGUUCGCCACGCCCAGAGAGCUGCGCCGCAGGGCCCAGCGGUGAGGGCCGGACGGGCCACGCUUCUGGCGAGGGGAGGCUGAGGCGCGGGCUGAAGAGGGGAGCCGGUGAGGCCCGGCCACGGCCGCCAUCUUGGGUACGGGCAGCGGUCACAUGGUGCGGCCUGCUCCCGGCGACGCAGGGUGGUGCGAAGGCCGAGUGCGCAGGCGCGAGGGCCUCGCCCUACCCCGCGGCGGGAACGCGGCUUUGGGGGCGCGGGGCCCGGCCGGCCGGCCUGCCCGGCGGGCGCGGAACGAGCGCAGUGCGCCUGCGCCGGCGGAGGGCCAGGGGCAGCGCGAGCGCUCUUCGAGUCCGGUCCGAGUUUUCCGGUCUCGGGCGGAGGCCGCAGAAACGUCCUCCCACCCACUUUCCGGUCGUUCCGGGCGCGCGUGCACCUCGGGCGGGGGUCUCGGCCAAUCCGUUCACCCCGAGUGCUCAGCGUCUGUGCUGUGCCCUGCCGAGGCCUUCAGAGACUCCCGUUGAGCCGCACCCCCGGAGGGCGUGAUGGGGUCUGCGGCGAGAUCAGAGCUGUGAAGCCCACUGAGCAGCCCAUCCCGAGUGUCACACCUGCGUGGGGAUAGCCCUGCCAGCGUUGGGGGGGAUGCUCCUGCAAAGGAUGGAGCCUCCAGAGAAGAAAACACUUAAAACAGUGGUGUUCAAACUGCAGCCCUUGCGGAACUGUUUUGUUUAUUAAAAAAAAAAAAAAAAGCUUGCUGUAGUAAAAAUGCUGCAUGGGAUCUCUAUGGUUCUAGAAUGACUUCGCUUCCAUGAAACUUGAUUCCUUGCAAGAGACUUUGAACCUUUCAGGAUAUGUCACACCAAACAUGGUGACCCGUGCUCAAAAAACUUGAGAUUUAACAGCCAAAUGUUGUUAGAUAACAGUGUUGUGUUU